rnacentral:misc_RNA from 1 species
GAUGAAGAACGUAGCGAAAUGCGAUAAGUAAUGUGAAUUGCAGAAUUCAGUGGAUCAUCGAAUCUUUGAACGCAUCUUGCGCUCCUUGGUAUUCUGAGGAGCAUGCCUGUUUGAGUGUCAUUAAAUUCUCAACUACACUGACUUUGAAUUGGUGUGGCUUGGAUUUGGGGGGAAAAUUGUUGUGGGCUUUUUGUAUAGUCUGCUCCCCUGAAAUUGAUUAGCGGUACCUUUGUGGAACUGUCUACAGGUGUGAUAAUUAUCUACAUCUUAGACAUCUGCUGGAAUGCUGCUUUCUAAACCUUACUUGUAUUGACAAUCUUGACCUCAAAUCAGGUAGGACUACCCGCUGAACUUAAGCAUAUCAAUAAGCGGAGGA